rnacentral:rRNA from 1 species
UACCAGCUCUCCGAGUGGUAGGGAUUAUUAUUGGGCUUAAAGCGUCCGUAGCCGGCUUAGCAAGUCUCCUGUUAAAUUCAGCGACCUAAUCGUUGAGCCGCGGGAGACACUACUAGGCUAGGAGGCGGGAGAGGCCGACGGUAUUCUCGGGGUAGGGGUGAAAUCCUAUAAUCCCGGGAGGACCACCAGUGGCGAAGGCUGUCGGCUAGAACGCGCUCGACGGUGAGGGACGAAAGCUGGGGGAGCGAACCGGAUUAGAUACCCGGGUAGUCCCAGCUGUAAACGAUGCGGGCUAGGUGUUGGGGUGGCUACGAGCCACUUCAGUGCCGCAGGGAAGCCAUUAAGCCCGCCGCCUGGGGAGUACGGCCGCAAGGCUGAAACUUAAAGGAAUUGGCGGGGGAGCACCACAAGGCGUGAAGCUUGCGGUUC